rfam:Asian citrus Psyllid, Diaphorina citri - Florida Strain, whole genome shotgun sequence.
GCCUCGGUGGCGUAGAGGUCAAGACGCUCGCCUGGUAAACAGGAGGGCGUGGGUUCGAUCCCAGCCGAGGUA